UUCUCCUGCCUCAGCCUCCUGAGUAGCUGGAACUACAGUAAAAGCUGCCUUGAGGGCCUCAAGAGGUUCUUGAGUCCAUGGCAAGGUAUUACAACAUGAGAAGAGUCACCGGUGAGAAGAAUCACAAAAUACCUAUAAUAAUAAAUUAUUUCAGAUGAAUGAAGCCUCAUGCGGUCUUAUCUUAUACCCUAACCCUCCCAUUAUGGGGUCUGGAGAGAUUCUAUGAUUUUUCUGAGAUCAAAUGAUUACUAUAUGACAGGGCCAGAAGGCUACACUGAACAGAGCAUCAGGUGCUGGGACUGAGGGAAGAAGAAGGCAUUUCCAGGCCCCUGUACGCUAAUCAUGUGGUCUGGGAAGUCCUGUAGCCUCUCUGGACUUAAGUUUCUUCAUCAAGAAAACAGAAGACCUCAGAUGAUAAUUAAUCAAGAAUUCAUACAAUAAACACACUACACAACUUC